GGCGAGAUGGUCUAGUGGUAAGGAAGAAGUGUUGCAAGUGCUUAAACCAGGAUCGAUUCCUGGUUGUGCCG